CCGGGCGACUGGGCUUGGUUAUCAUCUGGGGUUCUCCCCAGGGCACUUUUCCAGUCCAGGCCAGCAUCAGUUUUCCCCGGGGGAUAAAGGCGGCGGGAAUGUGGCUCUCUUCGGGGAGGGUUAUACCCCACCGUGUAAUACCCUGGGGGGGACUGAAGUUCGCGCAUCUGCAAGGAUGCUGGCGUAAUGGUCAUCAACGACCCGUCUUGAAACACGGACCAAGGAGACA
rnacentral:rRNA from 1 species